rnacentral:tRNA from 1 species
ACUUAGGUAGCUUAACUAAAGCAUCGGUCUUGUAAGCCGAAGAUGAGACUUAACCCUCUCUCAAAGUACCC